rnacentral:misc_RNA from 1 species
AUAUAUAUAUAUAUAUAUAGCAAUAUACAUUAGAAGAAAAAAAGGAAGAAGAAAUGUUGUUGUAUUGAUAUAAAUGUAUAUCAUAAAUAUUAGGUUGUAGUAACAUUCAAUAUAAUUAUCUCUUGUAGUUGUUGUAUCUUCACUUUAUCUCAACUCCUUUGAGAGAACUUUCCGUAGUUAUCUGCUUUGCACUUGGUUACUCAGAAUUUUACUGUGGGCAUGAUAAUUGAUAUACCAAAUUCAGUUUUG